GACACGACGCGAAUUCAUUUCAUUUAGUUCAGUUUAAGCCUGUUCUGUGCAGAAGCUGGGUGUUCAGACAUAAACAACUCUCAACCAGCCCUCCUUCUAAGGACUCACCAGGCAGAGCAGAGUGGAUGGGACGCUGUGGAGGGUACACCACAGAGGAGCGCAGAGGGACGGGGAGAUGACUUUCACAGGAUGUCAGGGAUCCUGGCAGAAACCCCAGGAGCUAACUCUACUUAACAGGUGGCCUUCUACUCAAAGAACAAAAACUGGAAGCAUCCAUUGAAUUGCCCUGUUUACAUGUGUUGAGUCAUGCCGAUGGAACAGAGCUAAUCAAGUCCUGGGUACAAAGCCCUUUAUGUCAAGGAAAAGGACCAGCUUCAGAUACACUAACCCCAGAGGCAAACACUUUCGUGUGUCUCGACAAAGCCUUGAAGCCAGUGAGGAGGACCUUGGAGGCAGAUCAGGCCAAUCGAAGGCUCAUGUGAGCCACAAAUGAGAGCCACUGGCAGAAUUUUAGAUUUUCUAGUGGCCACAUUUUAGAAAGUAAAAACAAACAGGACACCAUCAAGAAAACGAAAAAAGAACAUAUAGAAUGUGAGAAAAUAUUUGCAAAUCAUAUAUAAGUGGUCAUGUAUGGAUGUGAGAGUUGGACAGUGAAGAAAGCUGAGCGCUGAAGAAUUGAUGCUUUUGAACUGUGGUGCUGGAGAAGACUCUUGAGAGUCCCUUGGACUGCAAGGAGAUCCAACCAGUCCAUCCUAAAGGAGAUCAGUCCUGGGUGUUCAUUGGAAGGACUGAUGUUGAAGCUGAAACUCCAGUAGUUUGGCCACCUGAUGUGAAGAGUUGACUCAUUGGAAAAGACCCUGAUGCUGGGAGGGAUUGAAGACAGGAGGAGAAGGGGAUGACAGAGGAUGAGAUGGCUGGAUGGCAUCACCGACUCAACGGACAUGGGUUUGGGUGGACGCCGGGAGUUGGUGAUGGACAGGGAGGCCUGGCGUGCUGCGGUUCAUGGGGUUGCAAAGAGUCGGACACGACUGAGCGACUGAACUGAACUGAACUGAAAUGUUUUUCUCAUUAUGACAAAACACUACCCUAGUGAAAAGCCAAAAUCUACACAAUGUACUGAUUGUGAUUUUUUCUAUUAUGCUUCAUUGGUCCGUGGCAGGGGGUACCUUCAAUCAUCUUUGAAAGUAUGAACA